rnacentral:rRNA from 1 species
GUGAACGCUGGCGGUAGGCCUAACACAUGCAAGUCGCACGGCAGCACAGUAAGAGCUUGCUCUUACGGGUGGCGAGUGGCGGACGGGUGAGGAAUACAUCGGAAUCUACUUUUUCGUGGGGGAUAACGUAGGGAAACUUACGCUAAUACCGCAUACGACCUACGGGUGAAAGCAGGGGAUCUUCGGACCUUGCGCGAUUGAAUGAGCCGAUGUCGGAUUAGCUAGUUGGCGGGGUAAAGGCCCACCAAGGCGACGAUCCGUAGCUGGUCUGAGAGGAUGAUCAGCCACACUGGAACUGAGACACGGUCCAGACUCCUACGGGAGGCAGCAGUGGGGAAUAUUGGACAAUGGGCGCAAGCCUGAUCCAGCCAUACCGCGUGGGUGAAGAAGGCCUUCGGGUUGUAAAGCCCUUUUGUUGGGAAAGAAAAGCAGCAGGUUAAUACCCCGCUGUUCUGACGGUACCCAAUGAAUAAGCACCGGCUAACUUCGUG